UAUCCUGGCUCAGGAUGAACGCUGGCGGCGUGCCUAAUACAUGCAAGUCGAGCGAGAGAGAUAUAGCUUGCUAUAUCAAUCUAGCGGCGAACGGGUGAGUAAUACAUAAGCAACCUGCCUACAAGGAUCGGGAUAACGUCUGGAAACGGAUGCUAAAACCGGAUAAGAGGAAAGAAGGCAUCUUCUUUCUUUAAAAGGUGAGAAACACAAGUAGAUGGGCUUAUGGUGCAUUAGCUAGUUGGUGGGGUAACGGCCUACCAAAGCGAUGAUGCAUAGCCGGCCUGAGAGGGUGAACGGCCACAUUGGGACUGAGACACGGCCCAGACUCCUACGGGAGGCAGCAGUAGGGAAUUUUCGGCAAUGGGGGCAACCCUGACCGAGCAACGCCGCGUGAGUGAUGAAGGUCUUCGGAUUGUAAAGCUCUGUUAUAAGGGAAGAAUGGCCUAGAUAGGAUCUAGGAGUGACGGUACCUUACCAGAAAGCCACGGCUAACUACGUG
rnacentral:rRNA from 1 species